rnacentral:sRNA from 1 species
UGAUACGGGAUUCUUGGCUUUGAUAGUGGACAAUGUCAACUCCAUAAGGCGAACGAAGAUGGGCCUAGCCCACUAUUAUAUACUUCAAACCCACCAUGUUAUGCUGCAUACUGACAUGACCUCUAUGAAUUAGCAGAAUUCCUUAGAUGUGUGUUUUCUGCUUGUUUCUUUGAAGUAUUUGUUUUCCCUGACUUCUCGAAAGCCAUGGUGCCCUGCGUCUUUCUUCACAAUACAUUUCCUUUUCAUAUUCACCACCUGAUAAGGAUACCCAGGCCAUAUACGCCGACAAUGCGGAAAUCACGAGUGUGUUUGCUCCAGUGAUAUCCUAUAUAUGAGCCAC